AGUAUCCGCGCCCCUGUGAAAAUGCCCCACAGUUCUCCGCCCGAGAACAAGGAGCUGGUAUCAGGCACACCACACCAAGCCCACGACGCCUUGCUCAGCCACACCCCCAAGGGAACUCAGCAGUGAUAAACAUUAAGCCAUAAGUGAAAACUUGACUUAGUCAAAGCUAAGAGAGUCGGUAAAACUCGUGCCAGCCACCGCGGUUAUACGAGAGACCCAAGUUGAUAGUUGACGGCGUAAAGAGUGGUUAAGAAAACCAAUAAACUAAAGCCGAACACUUUCAAAACUGUUAUACGUAUUCGAAAGCAAGAAGCCCAACCACGAAAGUGGCUUUAUACCACCUGAACCCACGAAAGCUAAGAAACAAACUGGGAUUAGAUACCCCACUAUGCUUAGCCCUAAACAUUAAUAGCACAUUACAUCAGCUAUUCGCCUGGGUACUACGAGCAUAAGCUUAAAACCCAAAGGACUUGGCGGUGCUUGAGAUCCACCUAGAGGAGCCUGUUCUAGAACCGAUAACCCCCGUUAAACCUCACCCUCCCUUGUUUUUUCCGCCUAUAUACCGCCGUCGUCAGCUUACCCUAUGAAGGAAUAAUAGUAAGCUAAAUUGGUACAACCUAAAACGUCAGGUCGAGGUGUAGCGCAUGAGAGGGGAAGAAAUGGGCUACAUUCACUAUUAUAGUGAACACGAAUGAUGGACUGAAAUUUUCAUCUGAAGGAGGAUUUAGCAGUAAGCAGAGAAUAGAGUGCUCCGCUGAAACCGGCUCUAAAGCGCGCACACACCGCCCGUCACCCUCCCCGACUUAAUAUUUCCUAUAAUUAAUAACCUAGCAACUGUUAAGGGGAGGCAAGUC
rnacentral:ncRNA from 1 species